AAACGACUCUCGGCAACGGAUAUCUCGGCUCACGCAUCGAUUAAGAACGUAGCAAAAUGCGAUACUUGGUGUGAAUUGCAGAAUCCCGUGAACCAUCGAGUUUUUGAACGCAAGUUGCGCCCGAAGCCAUCCGGUUGAGGGCACGCCUGCCUGGGCGUCACGC
rnacentral:rRNA from 1 species